rnacentral:rRNA from 1 species
UACGUAGGGGGCAAGCGUUGUCCGGAAUUAUUGGGCGUAAAGAGCGUGUAGGCGGUCCGGUAAGUCGGCUGUGAAAGUCCAGGGCUCAACCCUGGGAUGCCGGUCGAUACUGCCGGACUAGAGUUCGGAAGGGGCAACUGGAAUUCUCGGUGUAGCGGUGAAAUUCGUAGAUAUCGGGAGGAACACCAGUGGCGAAGGCGGCGACCUGGGUAGAUACUGACGCUGAGGCGCGAAAGCGUGGGGAGCAAACAGG